UACAGAGGUCUCAACCGUUGUUCGGAUUCAUUGGGCGUAAAGGGUGCGUAGGCGGUCGCGUAAGUCAGGUGUGAAAUCUCAGGGCUCAACCCUGAAACUGCACUUGAUACUGCGUGGCUCGGGUACUGGAGAGGAGACUGGAAUUUACGGUGUAGCAGUGAAAUGCGUAGAUAUCGUAAGGAAGACCAGUGGCGAAGGCGAGUCUCUGGACAGUUCCUGACGCUGAGGCACGAAGGUCAGGGGAGCAAACGGG
rnacentral:rRNA from 1 species